AACGUAGGUCACAAGCGUUGUCCGGAAUUACUGGGUGUAAAGGGAGCGCAGGCGGGAAGACAAGUUGGAAGUGAAAUCCAUGGGCUCAACCCAUGAACUGCUUUCAAAACUGUUUUUCUUGAGUAGUGCAGAGGUGGGCGGAAUUCCCGGUGUAGCGGUGGAAUGCGUAGAUAUCGGGAGGAACACCAGUGGCGAAGGCGGCCUACUGGGCACCAACUGACGCUGAGGCUCGAAAGUGUGGGUAGCAAACAGG
rnacentral:rRNA from 1 species